UUGCUUACCCAACUCCUGGAGCAUAGGCUGCAAUAUCUGUGGAUUGGCUUGCACCAUUGCUCGAAGGGCCUGGAACUGUGGACUAUUGCGUAGAAAAUCCAAAUUUCCAGCACCGGCAUUUGAACCAGCAUUUGUUAAGCCCUGAGGGAACAGAUCUAGAGGAUUAGCAUUUGGUCCACUGGAAGGAACUGCUAGUUGUGAAGCAUCCUGAGCUGCAGGGUUUAUAGCCUGAGCACUGGCAGGAGCAGCAGGUGCACGGGCAACAGGCGGAAUUUCGGUUUGUUCAGGAAUACCAGAAUACAAGUAAUCAACAGCUCUCUCUGGAUUGUUAUAUGCUGCACGCAAAGCACGCACAACUGUAUCCCUAUCCCAGCUUCCCCCACCCAUAUCAAGAAUCUGUUGA
rnacentral:misc_RNA from 1 species